rnacentral:rRNA from 1 species
AGUGGCAGACGGGUGAGUAACAUGUAGGUAUCUGCCCUUUGGCCUGGAAUAACACGAGGAAACUUGUGCUAAUACCGGAUAAGUCUUUACGGAGAAAGCUUUAUGCACCAUUGGAUGAGCCUGCACUUGAUUAGUUUGUUGGUGGGGUAAUGGCCUACCAAGACUGUGAUCAAUAGCUGAUUUGAGAGGAUGAUCAGCCACAUUGGGACUGAGACACGGCCCAAACUCCUACGGGAGGCAGCAGUGGGGAAUCUUGCACAAUGGAGGAAACUCUGAUGCAGCGAUGCCGCGUGAGUGAAGAAGGCCCUUGGGUUGUAAAGCUCUUUCGUCGGGGAAGAAAAUGACUGUACCCGAAUAAGAAGGUCCGGCUAACUUCGUGCCAGCAGCCGCGGUAAUACGAAGGGACCUAGCGUAGUUCGGAAUUACUGGGCUUAAAGAGUUCGUAGGUGGUUGAAAAAGUUGGUGGUGAAAUCCCAGAGCUUAACUCUGGAACUGCCAUCAAAACUUUUCAGCUAGAGUAUGAUAGAGGAAAGCAGAAUUUCUAGUGUAGAGGUGAAAUUCGUAGAUAUUAGAAAGAAUACCAAUUGCGAAGGCAGCUUUCUGGAUCAUUACUGACACUGAGGAACGAAAGCAUGGGUAGCGAAGAGGAUUAGAUACCCUCGUAGUCCAUGCCGUAAACGAUGUGUGUUAGACGUUGGAAAUUUAUUUUCAGUGUCGCAGCGAAAGCGAUAAACAC